GCAUAUGUUCGCUCAUUCGGUUGGGCGAGUAAAGCAGCGAUGCGCUUAGGGAUGGGCCUGCGGCGGAUUAGGUAGUUGGUGGGGUAACGGCCUACCAAGCCGAUGAUCCGUAGGGGGCGUGAGAGCGUGGCCCCCCACACUGGCACUGAGACACGGGCCAGACUCCUACGGGAGGCAGCAGUGAGGAAUAUUGCACAAUGGGCGCAAGCCUGAUGCAGCAACGCCGCGUGAGGGACGAAGGCCUUCGGGUUGUAAACCUCUUUUCUGAGGGACGAGGAAGGACGGUACCUCAGGAAUAAGUCUCGGCUAACUACGUGCCAGCAGCCGCGGUAAAACGUAGGAGGCGAGCGUUAUCCGGAUUUACUGGGCGUAAAGCGCGCGCAGGUGGCUUCGUGAGUCGGACAUGAAAGCUCCUGGCUUAACUGGGAGAGGCUGUUCGAUACUGCGGGGCUUGAGGUUGGGAGAGGGACGCGGAAUUCCCGGUGUAGUGGUGGAAUGCGUAGAUAUCGGGAGGAACACCAGUGGCGCAAGCGGCGUCCUGGCCCACACCUGACGCUGAGGUGCGAAAGCGUGGGUAGCAAACAGGAUUAGAUACCCUGGUAGUCCACGCUGUAAACGAUGUCAACUGGGUGUCGGUAGUUUUACACUAUCGGUGCCGAAGCUAACGCG
rnacentral:rRNA from 1 species